GACGAACGCUGGCGGCGCGCCUAACACAUGCAAGUCGAACGGAGUCAAGAGGAGCUUGCUUUUCUUGACUUAGUGGCGAACGGGUGAGUAACGCGUGAGUAACCUGCCCUGGAGUGGGGGACAACAGUUGGAAACGACUGCUAAUACCGCAUAAGCCCACGGCCCGGCAUCGGGCUGCGGGAAAAGGAUUUAUUCGCUUCAGGAUGGACUCGCGUCCAAUUAGCUGGUUGGUGAGGUAACGGCCCACCAAGGCGACGAUUGGUAGCCGGACUGAGAGGUUGAACGGCCACAUUGGGACUGAGACACGGCCCAGACUCCUACGGGAGGCAGCAGUGGGGGAUAUUGCACAAUGGGGGAAACCCUGAUGCAGCGACGCCGCGUGGAGGAAGAAGGUUUUCGGAUUGUAAACUCCUGUCGUUAGGGACGAUAAUGACGGUACCUAACAAGAAAGCAC
rnacentral:rRNA from 1 species